GAUGAACGCUGGCGGCGUGCCUAAUACAUGCAAGUCGAGCGAACAGACGAGGAGCUUGCUCCUCUGACGUUAGCGGCGGACGGGUGAGUAACACGUGGAUAACCUACCUAUAAGACUGGGAUAACUUCGGGAAACCGGAGCUAAUACCGGAUAAUAUAUUGAACCGCAUGGUUCAAUAGUGAAAGACGGUUUUGCUGUCACUUAUAGAUGGAUCCGCGCCGCAUUAGCUAGUUGGUAAGGUAACGGCUUACCAAGGCCACGAUGCGUAGCCGACCUGAGAGGGUGAUCGGCCACACUAGAACUGAGACACGGUCCAGACUCCUACGGGAGGCAGCAGUAGGGAAUCUUCCACAAGGGGCGAAAACCUGACGGAGCAACGCCGCGUGAGUGAUGAAGGUCUUCGGAUCGUAAAACUCUGUUAUUAGGUAAGAACAAAUGUGUAAGGAACUAUGCACGUCGUGACGGUACCUAAUCAGAAAGCCACGGCUAACUACGUG
rnacentral:rRNA from 1 species